ACCUGGGUGGCUCAGUUGGUUAAGCACCUGACUUCAGCUCAGGUCAUAAUCUCAUGGUUUGUGAGUUCGAGCCCCACAUCAGGCU
rnacentral:tRNA from 1 species